rnacentral:rRNA from 1 species
UACGGGGGGGGGCGAAGCGUUGUUCGGAAUUACUGGGCGUAAAGGGCUCGUAGGUGGCCAACUAAGUCAGACGUGAAAUCCCUCGGCUUAACCGGGGAACUGCGUCUGAUACUGGAUGGCUAGAGUUUGGGAGAGGGAUGCGGAAUUCCAGGUGUAGCGGUGAAAUGCGUAGAUAUCUGGAGGAACACCGGUGGCGAAGGCGGCAUCCUGGACCAACACUGACGCUGAGGAGCGAAAGCCAGGGGAGCAAAGCGGG